rnacentral:rRNA from 1 species
UACGUAGGGGGCAAGCGUUGUCCGGAAUCCUUGGGCGUAAAGGGUGCGUAGGCGGCGCGGUAAGUCGGGUGUGAAAUCUCGGAGCUUAACUCCGAAACUGCAUUCGAUACUGCCGUGCUUGAGGACUGGAGAGGAGACUGGAAUUUACGGUGUAGCGGUGAAAUGCGUAGAUAUCGUAAGGAAGACCAGUGGCGAAGGCGGGUCUCUGGACAGUUCCUGACGCUGAGGCACGAAGGUCAGGGGAGCAAACGGG